AGAAUUGAUCCUAUCACUGACGGAAAGGCAACAAAAUUCUCACUGCUUCUCUCACUUCACAUCAAAAGAAAAUAAAAAUGGCUGUUCAGUCCCCAGUUUUCGACAAGUCUCAAAGUUUUGAGGAUAUGGUCUUGCCGAUCCCUGAAAUACCGGGCACUACUGUACCAUCAAAAAACCCUGAAUCUCACAACUCUUUCGAUGAUAAAAGGAGAAGGCGAAAAUGCUGUGUCUUCUGAGGGGGAAGGCUGUGUCUUGCUCAUACUGCUGCAUACUCUCUUUCAGAAGCUGCAAUUUACGAUAUCUUAAGCCUUCAAAACUUAAA